CUGGCUCAGAUUGAACGCUGGCGGCAGGCUUAACACAUGCAAGUCGAACGAGUGGCGGACGGGUGAGUAACAUUUAGGAAUCUGCCUAGUAGUGGGGGAUAGCUCGGGGAAACUCGAAUUAAUACCGCAUACGGAAAGUUGCUAUUAGAUGAGCCUAAAUCAGAUUAGCUAGUUGGUGGGGUAAAGGCCCACCAAGGCGACGAUCUGUAACUGGUCUGAGAGGAUGAUCAGUCACACCGGAACUGAGACACGGUCCGGACUCCUACGGGAGGCAGCAGUGGGGAAUAUUGGACAAUGGGGGCAACCCUGAUCCAGCCAUGCCGCGUGUGUGAAGAAGGCCUUUUGGUUGUAAAGCACUUUAAGCAGGGAGGAAGACGUUACCUGCAGAAUAAGCACCGGCUAACUCUGUGCCAGCAGCCGCGGUAAUACAGAGGGUGCGAGCGUUAAUCGGAAUUACUGGGCGUAAAGCGAGUGUAGGUGGCUCAUUAAGUCACAUGUGAAAUCCCCGGGCUUAACCUGGGAACUGCAUGUGAUACUGGUGGGCUAGAAUAUGUGAGAGGGAAGUAGAAUUCCAGGUGUAGCGGUGAAAUGCGUAGAGAUCUGGAGGAAUACCGAUGGCGAAGGCAGCUUCCUGGCAUAAUUGACACUGAGAUUCGAAAGCGUGGGUAGCAAACAGGAUUAGAUACCCUGGUAGUCCACGCCGUAAACGAUGUCUACUAGCCGUUGGGGCUUUAGUGGCGCAGUUAACGCGAUAAGUAGACCGCCUGGGGAGUACGGCCGCAAGGUUAAAACUCAAAUGAAUUGACGGGGGCCCGCACAAGCGGUGGAGCAUGUGGUUUAAUUCGAUGCAACGCGAAGAACCUUACCUGGUCUUGACAUAUACAGGUGCUGCAUGGCUGUCGUCAGCUCGUGUCGUGAGAUGUUGGGUUAAGUCCCGCAACGAGCGCAACCCUUUUCCUUAUUUGCCAGCGGCCGGGAACUUUAAGGAUACUGCCAGUGACAAACUGGAGGAAGGCGGGGACGACGUCAAGUCAUCAUGGCCCUUACGACCAGGGCUACACACGUGCUACAAUGGUAGGCAGAGGGUUGCUACACAGCGAUGUGAUGCUAAUCUCAACCUAUCGUAGUCCGGAUGGAGUCUGCAACUCGACUCCAGAAGUCGGAAUCGCUAGUAAUCGCAGAUCAGAAUGCUGCGGUGAAUACGUUCCCGGGCCUUGUACACACCG
rnacentral:rRNA from 3 species